GACGAACGCUGGCGGCGUGCCUAAUACAUGCAAGUCGAACGAACCGCGACUAAGUGCUUGCACUAAGUCAAGGUGAGUGGCGAACGGGUGAGUAACACGUGGGUAACCUACCUCAUAGUGGGGGAUAACAGUCGGAAACGACUGCUAAUACCGCAUAGGACAUAGGAUCACAUGAUCCAGUGAGGAAAGGUGGCGCAAGCUAUCGCUAAGAGAUGGACCCGCGGUGCAUUAGCUAGUUGGUAGGGUAAAGGCCUACCAAGGCGAUGAUGCAUAGCCGACCUGAGAGGGUGAUCGGCCACAUUGGGACUGUGACACGGCCCAAACUCCUACGGGAGGCAGCAGUAGGGAAUCUUCCGCAAUGGACGCAAGUCUGACGGAGCAACGCCGCGUGAGUGAAGAAGGUCUUCGGAUCGUAAAGCUCUGUUGUUAGAGAAGAACAGCGCAUAGAGUAACUGCUAUGCGUGUGACGGUAUCUAACCAGAAAGCCACGGCUAACUACGUG
rnacentral:rRNA from 1 species